GAUGAACGCUGGCGGCGUGCCUAAUACAUGCAAGUCGAGCGAACAGACGAGGAGCUUGCUCCUUUGACGUUAGCGGCGGACGGGUGAGUAACACGUGGAUAACCUACCUAUAAGACUGGGAUAACUUCGGGAAACCGGAGCUAAUACCGGAUAACAUGUUGAACCACAUGGUUCAACAGUGAAAGACGGUCUUGCUGUCACUUAUAGAUGAAUCCGCGCCGCAUUAGCUAGUUGGUAAGGUAACGGCUUACCAAGGCAACGAUGCGUAGCCGACCUGAGAGGGUGAUCGGCCACACUGGAACUGAGACACGGUCCAGACUCCUACGGGAGGCAGCAGUAGGGAAUCUUCCGCAAUGGGCGAAAGCCUGACGGAGCAACGCCGCGUGAGUGAAGAAGGUCUUCGGAUCGUAAAACUCUGUUAUUAGGGAAGAACAAAUGUGUAAGUAACUAUGCACGUCUUGACGGUACCUAAUCAGAAAGCCACGGCUAACUACGUG
rnacentral:rRNA from 1 species